rnacentral:tRNA from 1 species
GGUGAGGUGUCCGAGUGGUUGAAGGAGCACGCCUGGAAAGCGUGUAUACGUUUAUAGCGUAUCAAGGGUUCGAAUCCCUUUCUCACCGCCA